AUUGAACGCUGGCGGCAGGCCUAACACAUGCAAGUCGAGCGAGCGGCGGACGGGUGAGUAAUGUAUGGGGAUCUGCCCGAGAGAGAGGGAGAACUACAGGAAACGGUAACUAAUACCGCAUACUAUCGGAUGUACCCAUGUGGGAUUAGCUAGUAGGUGGGGUAAAGGCUCACCUAGGCGACGAUCUCUAGCUGGUCUGAGAGGAUGAUCAGCCACACUGGAACUGAGACACGGCCCAGACUCCUACGGGAGGCAGCAGUGGGGAAUAUUGGACAAUGGGCGAAAGCCUGAUGCAGCCAUGCCGCGUGUAUGAAGAAGGCCUUCGGGUUGUAAAGUACUUUAAGCGGGGAGGCGUUACCCGCAGAAGAAGCACCGGCUAACUCCGUGCCAGCAGCCGCGGUAAUUC
rnacentral:rRNA from 1 species